UUGAAUUAAAUUUGAAAAUGU
ensembl:piRNA 21ur-12909 ncRNA